CGGAACAUAGCAUAUAAAAUGCUUUUUACUUACAAUAAAAACAAAACUAGUAGUUUGUCCCGCAC
rnacentral:tRNA from 1 species